UACAGAGGGUGCGAGCGUUAAUCGGAAUUAUUGGGCGUAAAGGGCUCGUAGGCGGUCCAUCGCGUCGGGAGUGAAAAGCUGGGGCUUAACCCCAGUCCUGCUUCCGAUACGGGUGGACUAGAGGUAGGUAGGGGAGAUCGGAAUUCCUGGUGUAGCGGUGAAAUGCGCAGAUAUCAGAAGGAACACCGGUGGCGAAGGCGGAUCUCUGGGCCGUAACUGACGCUGAGGAGCGAAAGCAUGGGGAGCGAACAGG
rnacentral:rRNA from 1 species